rnacentral:pre_miRNA from 1 species
UGUCAGGUAGGCAGUGUAUUGCUAGCGGCUGUUAAUAAUUUUAACAGUUGCUAGUUGCACUCCUCUCUGUUGCAUUCAGAAGC